GAAUAAGUAAGGAGGAACAAUGCUGUAUGCUUUGGGAAAAAGUCAUAGAAAAACACAGGUAAGUACGCCAGGUACAGUGAGUGGCUCAUUCCUAUAAUCCCAGCACCCUGAAAGGCCAAGGCCAGCAGAUUGCUUGAGUCCAGGAGUUCAAGACCAGCCUGGGCCACAUGGUGAAAUCCUGCCUCCACUAAAAAUACAAAAAAUUAGCCAGAUGUGGUGGUGCACACCUGUAGUCCCAGCUACUUGGGAGGCUGAGGUGGGAGAAUCACCUGAACCCGGGAAGUUGAGGCUUCAGUAAGCUGAGAUCACACCACUACACUCCAGCCUGGGCAACUGGAGUGAGACCCCGUCUCAAAAAAAAAAAGAAAAAA
rnacentral:lncRNA from 10 species